GAUGAACGCUGGCGGCGUGCUUAACACAUGCAAGUCGAACGAAGAUGCCGGAGUGCUUGCACUUUGGCAGACUGAGUGGCGGACGGGUGAGUAACGCGUGGGUAACCUGCCUUAUACAGGGGGAUAACAGUUGGAAACGACUGCUAAUACCGCAUAAGCGCACGGUAUCGCAUGAUACAGUGUGAAAAACUCCGGUGGUAUAAGAUGGACCCGCGUCUGAUUAGCUUGUUGGUGAGGUAACGGCCCACCAAGGCGACGAUCAGUAGCCGGCCUGAGAGGGUGAACGGCCACAUUGGGACUGAGACACGGCCCAAACUCCUACGGGAGGCAGCAGUGGGGGAAUAUUGCACAAUGGGGGAAACCCUGAUGCAGCGACGCCGCGUGAGUGAUGAAGUAUUUCGGUAUGUAAAACUCUAUCAGCAGGGAAGAUAAUGACGGUACCUGACUAAGAAGCACCGGCUAAAUACGUG
rnacentral:rRNA from 1 species